GACGAACGCUGGCGGCGUGCUUAACACAUGCAAGUCGAACGAUGAAGCCGGAGCUUGCUCUGGUGAAUUAGUGGCGAACGGGUGAGUAACACGUGAGUAACCUGCCCUUGACUCUGGGAUAACUGCUAGAAAUGGUAGCUAAUACCGGAUACGACCCUCGGAGGCAUCUCCAGGGGGUGGAAAGAAUUUCGGUCAAGGAUGGACUCGCGGCCUAUCAGCUAGUUGGUGAGGUAACGGCUCACCAAGGCGACGACGGGUAACCGGCCUGAGAGGGUGACCGGCCACACGGGGACGCAGACACGACCCAGACUCCUACGGGAGGCAGCAGUGGGGAAUAUUGCACAAUGGGCGCAAGCCUGAUGCAGCAACGCCGCGUGAGGGAUGCCGGCCUUCGGGUUGUAAACCUCUUUUAGUAGGGAAGAAGCGAAAGUGACGGUACCUGCAGAAAAAGCACCGGCUAACUACGUGCCAGCCGCCGCAGUAA
rnacentral:rRNA from 1 species